UUAAUUUUUUUGUUGUUUCCAAUUGAUUUUUGUGAUGCUUUUCCUGCCGAAUGAAAUUCGCUAAGGGAUUAGGCAACCAAAAAAUCACAACAACAACUACUACUAAUAAAUUUUACAAUAAUCGGUUUACUUUUUGGACUCGGGAUCGGUUUUUAAAUCGCUUUUUUCGAACCACAGAACUUUGAACGCGACGCGACGACUAUUCUGGCUUAGUUUUUGAAAGGUUUUCGAAUAAAGCAAGCCAGCGAAAAUGCGAAACUUUCGAAUACAGUCCAAUACGGUUUUAAAAUAAAUAAAAGAAAGCCAGCAAAGAAAGGAUCCGCAACGAUCAUCGGUCAGGGAAAGCCUCUUCAUGGUCUCACAACGCAAAUGUGCAAAAAGUGAAGCAAAUGAAGCAGAAAAAAUCUGAAAAAUAU